UGGCUCUCGCAUCGAUGAAGAACGCAGCGAAAUGCGAUAAGUAAUGUGAAUUGCAGAAUUCAGUGAAUCAUCGAAUCUUUGAACGCACCUUGCGCCCCUUGGUAUUCCGAGGGGCAUGCCUGUUUGAGUGUCAUGUUAAUCUCAAACCACAGGUCUUUUUAACUAGAGGCUUGUUCGGUUUGGACUUGGAGGUUACUGCUGGCUCCCCUUGUAGUCGGCUCCUCUGAAAUGCAUUAGCUGGACUUUGGUUCGCACCUACGGUGUAAUAGUAACUUGUAUUUGCCGGGUGCUUGCCUAGGGAGUCCGCUUCUAAUCGCCCUCGGGCAAGGUCAUUUUGUGACCUUCUUGAACACUUUGACCUCAAAUCAGGUAGGACUACCCGCUGA
rnacentral:misc_RNA from 1 species